rnacentral:tRNA from 1 species
GAGGGUAUAGCUCAGUGGUAGAGUGCAUGCCUAGCAUGCAUAAGGUCCUGGGUUCAAUCCCCAGUACAUCCA